rnacentral:lncRNA from 1 species
AUGUGUAUCAAGGCAAGAGAUCAGAAUAGCGUUAACAGGUUAAAAUUAAAAGUAGAUGUUUUGAAGAGAGACCAGGCGGUUGGCAAGCCUGCAGGUCCUCGGGGACGGUCGGAGCUGCCUCCUGGUGAUUUGCGGGAUCUGAAGACGGGGUGCGGACAGUGGCAUUCUAGACAGCAGUUAGCUGGAGCCAAGGCCCUUAUCUGCUUAGACAAAUCUGGAACACUAGAUGGAGGGGAAAGCAGCAAGUCACAAAAGGAAAAGCGCACGGCAAGACCCUUGACACUGUUUGAGAACAUGCUGCGUGAUGUUCUGCCUUCUUCCCGGCACCUGCACACACCACCUUCAGGAGAAGCCCCCCUCAGGAGCAGAGGAAAAGACCUCUGACGUAAGGUGCAGGGGCUGGGAGCUGCCUGGGGCUGUAAUCGUUCCAGUUUAUUGAGCACCUGCCAUGUGCCAGGCACUCUUCUGAUGGCCUCACCAAUCAUCCCCAUUCAACAGAGGAGUAGACAGAGGGACGGAGAGGUUGAGACCUGUUGGGCGGCGCAGUUAGUAAGUUGCAGCACCGGGACUCGAACCCAGUGCCCUUGAUUACUAACCUCCAUCGCCUCUCACACUGUGGCUCACAGUUCCUCAUGUUUGGGAAAAGAUUAAGACAUCUGAAGCAAAUGUGGUCAAAUGUUAAUAUUGGUAACGUCUGGUGGUGUGUCCUUGAGUGUUCUUUCUUCUGUUCUUUUUAAUUUUCUGUAGGUGUGAAAUGUUUACACAAGCCCGCAGGCUCCAGUCUGAGGCCUCUGCUGGCCCCAGGCCUCUUACCCAGCCAUGAUCCACAUCACACAGGUAGUCCAGCCACCAGUCUGGCAGAGCCAUGACCAACCCACUCCCCAGUGCUCACGAGAUGACUCCCAGCACAGUCUCCCGCUGUGGCUGAGUGGCCAGAGGAGGCCUGGGCCCUGGGGAGAAAGGACUAACCAAUGCUGGGCUGCUCCCCUCCAGACAGGGCAAACAGGCUGUCCACGGCCUUCCCCGUCAUCCGGGAGAAGGAACUAAUGACUGUAAUUAGUGGACGUCUGGUAUGCAGGAGCCGAUGCAUGGCUGGCUGCCCACGCUGACCCAGUCUGGCCAGAAGAGGCUUUGGGUGUUCUGCUGGCCUCUGCGUCCUGGUUCUGGCAGCCGCCAGUGACCACUGGGCUCCUGGAAACGUGGGCAAUGCUCCUGGACCUUCCUGCAACGCUCAGGGCCAAUGGGCUUGGACCCAGAGCGUCCAGCAGUGGCCUGGUCUCACCUCCUCCCUACCCCCACUCAAGAGGUAGGGACCCUGGGGCUGAGGCUGGGAAGGGUCCUGUGUGGGGUCACCAGGGGAGUCUACAGCAGGGUCGGGUGUCCC